rnacentral:rRNA from 1 species
UGGUUAAAAAGCUCGUAGUUGGAUCUCGGCGGACUGAGGGCGGUUUGCUUGCUAGUAUUACUGGCCUAUAGUCCGUAGUUUUGCCAGAGGUUUCGGGGUGCUCUUAAUCGAGUGUCCCGGGAUGCUGGCAGGUUUACUUUGAUAAAAUUAGAGUGCUCAAAGCAGGCUAUUACGCCUGAAUAUUCGUGCAUGGAAUAAUAGAAUAGGAAGUCGUUUCUAUUUUGUUGGUUUUCGGAAAUCGACUUAAUGAUUAAUAGGGACAGUCGGGGGCAUUUGUAUUCAAACGACAGAGGUGAAAUUCUUGGACCGUUUGAAGACAAACUACUGCGAAAGCAUUUGCCAAGAAUGUUUUCAUUAAUCAAGAACGAAAGUUAAAGGUUCGAAGGCGAUUAGAUACCGCCCUAGUUUUAACCAUAAACGAUGCCAGCUAGCGAUCUGCGGACGUUUUUUUUGUAGACUCCGCAGGAAGCUUCCGGGAAACCAAAGCAUUUGGGUUCCAGGGGAAGUAUGGUUGCAAAGCUGAAACUUAAAGGAAUUGACGGAAGGGCACCACCAGGAGUGGAGCCUGUGGCUUAAUUUGACUCAACACGGGAAAUCUCACCAGGCCCGGACACUGGA